rnacentral:rRNA from 1 species
AUGGCUAGAGCAUGGAAGGAUAACUAUUAUGGUAUAUCACAAUUAUCAAGGUACAUCUUUGUGGCUCAUUUUCGUUCUUUGGAUGCUGUUAUGUUUGUCAUUACUCGUCAGCCUUGGAGCAUGGGUUCAGACAAUUUCUUGCUUGAAUGGAUGGAUCCAGAGGAGCAAAAUAGGAAUAUUCAGGACUAUAAGUUUGACACUAUCUACGUGACUAUUCGGAUUUAUGACAUCUUGCAAAGUGUUGGCCAGAUCUCAGAAUUUCAUCCUAUAAAUCAGAGUAUGAUAUUUGCUAGGGAGAAUUACAUUUGGGAUACCAUUAAAGCUCAGGUUAGUAAAGCAGUCAGAGAUAGAGUUUGGGUUUCUUUUGCCAAGGAUUCUGCUGGUUGGGCUUACUUAUUCUAUGAGAAAAUUGGCAGGAUCUGCACUUUUUGUGGAGUUAUGUUUCAUAGUGUUCAGCAUUGCAAGAUCAGAAAUAGUGUUCUCAUUUCAAGAAACAGGCUGCAAGUUUCUUUGGAAGAAAUCUCACCAAAUAGAUUUGGGCAGUGGAUGACU